rnacentral:lncRNA from 1 species
UUCAUUUUGAUUUGGCCUCCCGCUGCGAACGGGACUGCUUUGUCUCGGCCGACAGAACCAGCAAGCCAGAAAGGUACCGAAACUGGGAACCGAUGUUCCUCUGGAACCAGCAUGAAAACUCCACAAAAUCCCUAGUUUGUCUCCACAGUGUUCUUAUUCCAAGUGUGCUGAGAGAAAAGGCCAGACAUGGAUACCUUAAUUUUGUAAAACAGAAAGAUUUCGCCGGAGAAGAAAGUUACCAUCGGGACGCUGUACUUCUCCAGUUUCACGCUCGCUCUGGAUUUCCCUCCUGCCCCCCCUUCUCCCCCCAGCAGCACUAAAAGCAAAAGGAUGGUGUGAGGGAAACACAAAGAAGGUCCCUUGCAGAGAAACACAUCCUGACAUCAAGCAUUUUCAUCACGGCUGACAGAGAAAUGGCAUGUUCAAUUUGCACUUUAUUUACAAACGCUAAACAUCUACGCACACAUGCCUACCCACCUUUCAUAUCCCUGUAUCUGAAACCCAAGCGAGGAAAACAGCCCAUGCGCGUGAAGCAAGCGAGGGAAUGUGCCGCUGCCUCAUCCAGCACGUUUACAAAUGGACCAACCACAAAUACACCACAGGGAAAUGUGCUUCUCUGUGUGCCAAAAUGCCAGGAUGUUAAUUCACAGAUAUCUCUGUUCAGCGUGUUGGUGUAACUGAGAUAAAUGCCAAGCUGGCUCCCUGCUGUGCGUGGUCCGACACCCCUUGGCCAUAGAGAUUCCAGCUAUUUAAGUUUGGAAAUGACAUUUCUUCACACGUCUUCCAAGAUAGCAAUGUAUGUCAAUCACCGGGAGCUCUGCCAAUGACAAUGCCAAUGGAUUUGAAUUUCCCAUUCAUGCUAGGGUGAAGGGGCUAUCUCUUUGACUUCUCCGACUGGGGCCUUUCAUCUCACCCAGGAAAGUUUAUUUCCCAAGGAAUUUUCUUUGUGGUCUCAAACUUGAAUGACCUUCCUUUUAUAACCUCUGAUAUCACCCAGGGUUUUAUUGCCAGGAAGUACCUCUUAGUUGACAUGCUUAAUACUGGGUUCCUGUGAUCUAUUCUAGGGAACCCCGAAACUUAGAGAGAAAACUGAGGAAAAUGAUCUGGUUUCCAGGUUUGGGAAUACCACUGAACCACUGACCCUUAAGGAUACAUGGAAAAAUAACCUGUAACAUUCAAAUUCUACAAAAUACAUUGUGUUCAUACAA